rnacentral:tRNA from 1 species
ACGGAUGUAGCUCAGCGGCAGAGUGGCGGUCUCCAAAACCGAAGGUCGGGAUUUCGAAAUUCCCCAUCCGUGCUA